AAUAUUGCACACUGGGCGAAAGCCUGAUGCAGCAACGCCGCGUGAGUGAUGAAGGCCUUCGGGUCGUAAAGUCCUUUGAUCAGGGAUGAAAAUGCCAUUACCUGAAACACAAGCCCCGGUCAACUCCGUCCCAGCAGCCGCGGUAAUACGUAGGUGGCGAGCGUUGUCCGGAAUUACUGGGCGUAAAGGAUGCGUAGGUGGAUACUUAAGUGGGAUGUGAAAUCCCCGGGCUCAACCCGGGAACUGCAUUCCAAACUGGGUAUCUAGAGUGCAGGAGAGGAAAGCGGAAUUCCUAGUGUAGCGGUGAAAUGCGUAGAUAUUAGGAGGAACACCAGUGGCGAAGGCGGCUUUCUGGACUGUAACUGACACUGAGGCAUGAAAGCGUGGGUAGCAAACAGG
rnacentral:rRNA from 1 species